AUUGAACGCUAGCGGCAUGCUUAACACAUGCAAGUCGAGCGGCAGCGCGGGGAAACCUGGCGGCGAGCGGCGGACGGGUGAGUAAUCCGUAGGAAUCUGCCUUGUAAUGGGGGCCAACACGGGGAAACUCGGGCUAAUACCGCAUAAUCCCUACGGCGGAAAGUAGGGGACCUGCGGGCCUUUUGCUCUAAGAGGAGCCUGCGUCGGAUUAGCUAGUUGGUGGGGUAAAGGCCUACCAAGGCGACGAUCCGUAGCUGGUCUGAGAGGACGAUCAGCCACACUGGGACUGAGACACGGCCCAGACUCCUACGGGAGGCAGCAGUGGGGAAUAUUGGACAAUGGGGGAAACCCUGAUCCAGCAAUGCCGCGUGUGUGAAGAAGGCCUUCGGGUUGUAAAGCACUUUCAGUGGGGAAGAACUAAUUCAAGGUUAAUAACCCUGAGUCUUGACAUUACCUACAGAAGAAGCACCGGCAAACUCCGUGCCAGCCGCCGCCGUAA
rnacentral:rRNA from 1 species